GAUGAACGCUGGCGGCGUGCCUAAUACAUGCAAGUCGAGCGAACGGACGAGAAGCUUGCUUCUCUGAUGUUAGCGGCGGGCGGGUGAGUAACACGUGGAUAACCUACCUAUAAGACUGGGAUAACUUCGGGACACCGGAGCUAAUACCGGCUAAUAUUUUGAACCGCAUGGUUCAAAAGUGAACUACGGUCUUGCUGUCACUUAUAGAUGGAUCCGCGCUGCAUUAGCUAGUUGGUAAGGUAACGGCUUACCAAGGCAACGAUGCAUAGCCGACCUGAGAGGGUGAUCGGCCACACUGGAACUGAGACACGGUCCAGACUCCUACGGGAGGCAGCAGUAGGGAAUCUUCCGCAAUGGGCGAAAGCCUGACGGAGCAACGCCGCGUGAGUGAUGAAGGUCUUCGGAUCGUAAAACUCUGUUAUUAGGGAAGAAAAUAUGUGUAAGUAACUGUGCACAGCUUGACGGUACCGAAUCAGAAAGCCACGGCUAACUACGUG
rnacentral:rRNA from 1 species